rnacentral:tRNA from 1 species
GAAGGGUGAUUANGUUAGAAUACCGGCCUGUCACGCCGGGGGUCGCGGGUUCGAGUCCCGUCCGCUGCGCCA